rnacentral:misc_RNA from 1 species
UAAUAAUGUUAACCAUGUUCAAGAGGCUUUGAUCUCACAGCAAGACAAUGUUAAUAGUGAGAUGAAGAUUUUUUUUAUAUAAAAGAGGGGAGGACACCCCAGAAGACCAGCACUCGAAAAGGAGAGGAGAUGACUCUCGUAAGAGCAAGACCUAGAAUAUCCCAGCCGAUCAACUCCAACGUAUCAGGUGAAGAAAAAUAGUGAACACCCAAAAAAGAAGCAAUAGCUAUAUUAGCCAAUUUGUCGACUACUCGGUUGGCCUCUCUAUCAAUAUGAUGCAAACGCACCUCCCACUGCCACCUAAGAAAACUACGACACUGUUAAAUAAGAUUAGAAUACUGCAAAUUAGCCUCAUCAUCAUUUGAAAGUAGCCGCAAGACAGACUUGGAAUCUAGCUUAAUAAUCAACUUACACACGCCCAUAUGUAAGCUUCAUCCCUUGCAGCAGAGCUUGAAACUCAUCCUGCAUUGAGGUACAUGUGCCCAACUGAAUACAAAACCCAGCCAAAUAGAAUCCUCUGUGGUCCCCAAGAACACCACUCCGACCAAAUUACCCUUCGACACACCAUUUGAGUCAGCUUAAUUCAUCCUUCAUCGGGAGGCAACCAUCUUACAGAAAUCACAGUCUUCAAUGAGGACGCAGAGGACAUAGAAAUAGCCCAAAGCCAAAGAAGACAGAACCUGAGAUUUGAGGAUGUUGAAGACAGAAGUGGACUCAAUACCCUGAAAAACAGACUCAUAGCGCCAACGUCAUAGCCACCAUAAAGCAAUACCGAGAACUUGAUCAGAUGAAAGCAUCAAAGACCCUACUAGGAAUUAAUUCCUUCUGAUACAAAAACCAAUCAACCAUAGACAUCCUGCGGAACUUCACUAGGGAGUCAGCAUCCCACACCAUACUCUAUAUGAUUUUAGCAUUACCACUUAAAAAUAUGAGUAAGAAAUUCAUCCGCAGCCCCACGAAGGACACAAACUAGGGUCAUUGGUAAACCUUCUUUUGUCUUUUAUUGUUAGACAUCAAUUUGCCAUGAAACAAAGUCCAAAAGAACAUCUUAAUUUUCUGGGCAGCCUUAAUUUUCCAAAUCGCCUGUCAAACAGAGAGAGACAGAAUAACAUCACAUUGCAAAGAAUAAACAGAACUCACGAAAAGUUACCAUCCUUCACCUCCUUCCAUCCAAGCUGAUCAUGGGACGGAGAUCUAAUUUCAUGGUUUUAGGCCAAAAGCAUUGGGCUUCUUUUGUAUUGUUAUUACUCCUUGUAAUAGCAAACCAACAUAAAAUUGCUACGAAAUACCAACAUAAAAUUGCUACGAAAUACAAACCCAAUCAGAAACUACAGUACGGGCGAUCUUAUCUACGACUAGCCCGGCCAACUUCAAUUUAGAAUCAAUCUGAAAUCAAUAAUUCUGAUUUAUUAGGGGUAAAAAGUAAAGACCUGAAUCAAUCCUUAAAGUUCUUUCACUUCAAGAAUUCAAUUUUGAUUUCAAUUUUAUUUUCAAUUCAUUCUAGUUUAAUUUGAUUUAUUUCAAUUUUAAUUUCAAUUUAUUCUAGUUUAAUUUGAUUUAAAUAGGCCGUUCCGAUACAACAGCAUGGUAAAACCUAAAAAUACCUUGUAUGAAUUACUUAUUACAAGAAGCAUACAUGAAAAACUUAUAAUUACUUGCUUAUGAUACUAGGUAUUGUUAAGGCAAAUAACCUAAAACAAAACUGUGUUUAACCAGGCGAUUCCUAUUAAACAAUUUAUAUUCUGAUUAGUCAAAAGACUCGUCUAGCAGGUACCGUUCGAUAGUGUUUUGGGUUUGCUAUUUGCUUGAUUCUGGAAUAAAGAACUGAAGGUCUGCUUUUACUUGUUACAAACAUAACACUUGAAUAAAGAUUAAUCGUGGAAUCCAGGACGAACCAAAACAAGCUAGUGAGAAGAGGUUCUAUAGCACUUCAUAAAUAACAAGUUUCAUCGUAAGGUUAUUAAUCACUCAAAUUAAAUUGAUUGCAAAAAAAAAAAUAAAAUAAAAUAAUGCAUACUUAUAGUCUUAAGAACCUAACAAGAAAUUAACACAAAACUCUUGGCUCUAUAUUCCCAUCUUCAAUACUCAGGAAUGGUUUCUCUGCAUCAAGCUUCAACUCUCUCUGCAUCUUCAAUUAGGACUUUAGUUGGUUUCCCCAAUAGAUCAGUGUACUCCUGGAAAGGCGACUUGGUGAAGCGGGUCUCCCUCCAAAAGUCAGGAGUCAAGAAUCCAUAGGUCUUCAAAAGACAAUCAAAGGUGGCCUGCAUUUUACAUGGCAUGCACGUGAAUUAAACCAACAAAGAACAACAGAAUAAAGAGUGUAAUUAUCCAAAAAAGAAGCAUCACAGCAUUUAUCAUUGUUAAACAAUACCUAGACCAACACACACACACAGACACACACAAAGUGAAUUUUUUACAUCAGCAAGAUAGGAAUAUUUAUUACUUCCAUAAAAAGACUCAUGUUUAACUAUUAACAACACAGUUAUCCAGCAAUGGACAUUCAUAACCAUCUAGCAAACAAAUACUGUCUACUAGUAGUGUGGAAAUCCUAUUCCUAUAUAACAAAUUCACAAAGAUAGUAUCAUUUGUUUGAAAUUGGCUACAUAUAAGCUACUAUUGGGUUAUGGCAAGAGAGGCAUAAUUCAGGAUCACAUUGAAGUCAUGUGAGCAUUUCAAACCAAUCAAGCAUAGCAAUUAAGGAACAUUCAAAUCAUCCACAAACAGUUAAUAGACCCUAAUUUAACUAAAAAAUGACUAAGAUUUCAAAGCUCCUUUCUUUUAACAUGCAAACAAGAACAUAAAAUUUCAGAACUUCUAGCGAUUUUCAGGAAUUGAAUGGAUGACUGUUACAUUAUUAACACAAGCUCACAUAAUAACAGAACAGGCCAAGAUACACUGAGAAAACAUUGAACAAUUUAAAAGCAUAUGUAUCAUUACAAAUUAGAAGACAACGUAUUAAGACACACUAACUCCACACAAAAUCACAAUGUGCUGAUAUCAGAAUGUUAGCCUAAUAUGCAUAUACAAUCUUCAAUAAGCGAUCAAUCAAUGAGGCAAUAUAUAAUGCUAAACCAAAUAAUCAAGUUCAGAUGACAAAAAUUCAAUAAACAUGUUAAAAUAGAUUAAUUGUAAAGCUCUGAAUUCCACAUAAUGAAUAUAAAGAAAUAGUUGAACAGACCUUAACGAAAUUCCCGAGUGUCUUCGUGGAACCCCUGGAGGAGGUGAACACAUCCUCUAUCCCAGCAAACUGCAGAACCUUCUUGGGGACCCGAGCAGCGACUAUCCCGGCACCACGUGGAGCCGGUACCAUUCUCACUGUCACGGAUCCACACUUGCCAGUGACCUUACAGGGCACAGUGUGUGGCUUUCCGAUCUUGUUACCCCAAUAACCUCUUCUCACGGGGAUAACAGAUAACUUGGCCAAUAUGAUGGCACCGCGAAUGGCAGUAGCAACCUCCUUCGAGCACUUAACUCCCAAACCGACGUGGCCAUUCCCGUCGCCUACGACGACAAAGGCCUUGAAUCGGGUUCGCUGCCCAGCCCGAGUUUGUUUCUGGACAGGGGUGAUUUUCAUGACCUCAUCCUUGAGGGAUGGACCGACGAGAGUGUCGAUGAUCUGGUGCUCCUUGAUCGGAAGAGAAUGCAGGUAAAUUUGCUCUAGACUUCUGAUCUUGCCAUCCUUCACCAAGCGGCCCAGUUUGGUUACUGGAACCCACUUCUCCUCCUCGUCACGGCGCGCACGACGGCGGCCUCUGCCUCCGCGAUCGCCACGAGAUGGACCGCCGAAGCCGCGGCGAAAAGCUCCCCUUUCUCCUGCGCCUCUGUCAGCCAUGGUUACAGUUAAGCUUAGAUUUGAGAAAGGAAAAACAAAAAAAAGGGUCUAAGG